GGCCGGCUGGCCUAAUGGUUAAGGCGUCAGUUUCCGGUGACCGCCCACCUGUUAGCUGAAGAUUCUGGGUUCGACUCCCAGGUUGGUCG